rnacentral:rRNA from 1 species
GUGCCAGCAGCCGCGGUAAUACGUAGGCGGCGAGCGUUGUCCGGAAUUAUUGGGCGUAAAGGGAGCGCAGGUGGGAAUGUAAGUCUUUCUUAAAAGUGCGGGGCUCAACCCCGUGAUGGGAAAGAAACUAUAUUUCUUGAGUGCAGGAGAGGAAAGCGGAAUUCCUAGUGUAGCGGUGAAAUGCGUAGAUAUUAGGAGGAACACCAGUGGCGAAGGCGGCUUUCUGGACUGUAACUGACACUGAGGCUCGAAAGCCAGGGGAGCGAACGGGAUUAGAUACCCCGGUAGUCCUGGCCGUAAACGAUGGAUACUAGGUGUAGGAGGUAUCGACCCCUUCUGUGCCGGAGUUAACGCAAUAAGUAUCCCGCCUGGGGAGUACGAUCGCAAGGUUGAAACUCAAAUGAAUUGGCGG